rnacentral:rRNA from 1 species
UACGUAGGUGGCAAGCGUUUGUCCGGAAUUACUGGGCGUAAAGGGCGCGUAGGCGGCCUUCUAAGUCGAACGUGAAAUCCCUGGGCUCAACCCAGGAACUGCGUCCGAUACUGGGAGGCUUGAAUCCGGGAGAGGGAUGCGGAAUUCCAGGUGUAGCGGUGAAAUGCGUAGAUAUCUGGAGGAACACCGGUGGCGAAGGCGGCAUCCUGGACCGGCAUUGACGCUGAGGCGCGAAAGCCAGGGGAGCAAACGGG